UCAGGCCAAGCGCUUCCCCUCGCCUGGCCGCCGUGCGCGCACACCAGAGAGAAGCCACGGGGGCGCCGAGGGUGAAGCUGAACCUGCAGCCGCCUCUAGCGCCGCGUGCCGGGUGCAGCGAGUCCCAGCUCGGCCUCUCAGCUCCGCCGGGGUUCACCUGUUUGGAGAUUGGGAGUCCAAGAUGGAUUUCCCUGGGCUAAGUGUAGGUGGUAGUGCCGCAUAUGCCUUAUAGAAGCUCUAGGGGAGACUUCCUUGUCUUGCCUGUUUCGGCUUCUAGAAGCUGUCCACGUUCUUUGGCUCAUGGCCUCCUUCAUCUUCAAAGUCGGUAAAGAAUGGUGCUGCAAACCACUUUAAGCAGAAGUGGAAAGAAGCCUGAAAACAGAAGUAUGACAGCAUUAGAUAAUCAUUUAAUUAAUGACUCCACCCAGAGUGGGGUUCCUAUUACCGUUUCUGGGUUCCCCUCAUAAAUUAAAGUGAAAUUUCCACAAUGUCUGGAGCCCCAGAUGUCCUGCAAAUGAAGGAGGAGGACGUGCUCAAUUUCCUCGCAGCAGGAACCCACUGAGGCGGCACCAACCUUGACUUGCAAACAGCGCAGUACAUUAUGGGGGAAAGAAAAGGAUGGCAUGAUCUCCUAAAUCCGAGGAGAACCUGGGAGAAGCUUCUGUUAGCAGCUCAUGCCCUUGUUGCCACUGCCAACCCAGCUGAAGUCAGCGCCAGAUCCCCGGGGAAUCCUGGCCAGCGAGCUGAAGUCUGCCGCAGCCGCUGGAGGCGCUCGGCUCCUGGAACCUUCGCUCAGCCACCACUGGCGGUGGUUCCCAAUCCCAGGGCGGCGCGCCAGGCGCUCGCGGAGGCCUCCUGGGUUAAGGCGCCGGUCACGGUGCGGCAGAACACAGACGCUCCUGCGCACGAGGUGGACCCGGCCAUCUCCCUCGGAGGCUCUGAGGGGGUGGGUGCCCCGGCAGUUCUGCGCAUGCGGGGCGCCCUUUCCGCGAACCCCCGUGGGAGGUCCCACCUGGUCUCCGCUUCUACGCAGACCCCGAAGCGACUGGAAAGGAGGAGCAGACCCUGCCGACAUGGCUGUGACCAAGGAAGAAUUUCAGGGUGAAUGGACUGCUCCGGCUCCCAAACGGACUCUUACUCAACCUGAGGGCCCAGAUGGGUGUGAGGGCAUGCAGGUGUCCUCUGCAUCUCUUCCAUGGUUCUCUGCUGGAGUGGAGGGACCAACCUGCCCGGGAACACUGGACCACAGCACCCCCGUUCCAGCGACUGAAUGGGGAGAACUCAAGAAUAAACCAAGUUUCUUUGUGGUGAUGAGCAUACCAGACUUCAACGAAUGAAGAAUUAUUGGAAAAGAAGUAGAUAGAGGUAAAGGAAACACAAUUCUCUCAUCUCUGUGCUUUGAAUUUUAAAGCAAAGUCAGACUGUUAACAGAAGGUAUGAGAAAAUACUGGAAUGUAUGACCAAGGG